rnacentral:tRNA from 1 species
UGGGUUGUAGCUUAGUGGUAGAGUGCAUGCCUCACAUUUGUGAGGCAUUGGGUUCAAUUCUCAGCAACGCAUAUAAAUAAAAUAAAGGUCCUCUGACAACUAAAAAAUUUAAAUUAAAUUAAGGAAUUUGGGUUCGAUCCCCAGUAACUCAA